GCUGGGCUUCCAGCCUGGCCUUUAUGCGCCCCGGCGGAGGUAGGACACGCGCCAGGCGCCCAGUGAAGGACGUGGGACAAUGGCCUGGCCAGGGGAACACCAGGCGCCGCCAGACGCGGUGAAGGCAAGCUCCAGCCACCGUCCUGCAGCGCAGCCCCGAGGCAGACAGGGCCGCCUGCUCUGCAGACAAAUAACAGAGAAGGCGGCUCACCGUGGUCUUGACCCGCACGAAGAGCACUUGCUUGGCGCCGCCGCCUCCCCCGCGGACCUCAUCCGGCUGGCCCAGCUGGAAACCCUUCGAUUUGACCCAGAAUUUAAAUUUGGCAUUGUCGGUAGAGCUUGACUCGGAGCCGUUGAGGAGCUGGACGAUCCGCUCGUAUUUCUUACGGGUCACCGUCUUGGUCUUGCCUGAGUCCCCGUACAAAAUUCAAUAGAACAUAAUCAGUAGCUCCUUAAUUGGAUUUACAGUCCACUCAACAAGAGGAAACUCAUGCCUGGUACUGGAAACCUAGCCAACCAUCCAGGGCUAGUGUAGUCAUGAAUCUUGGAGGAGAACUUACAUCCACCACUUGGAGGAGAACUUAAACCAGCAUCCCUAACUGCAUUCUAAAUAAUUGUCCUUACAUAUACAGGCCAUCUAUUUUCUUAGAGUCUAGAAGACAGUGGAAGUCUGGAAGCUAUUUUUUAAAGCCAUCAACUCCUCCACCAUAUCUCCUCCUUCUAAUGUUGAGUAUGAGGAGAGGUGUUUGCCGGCAGCUGGAGAAAUUUUGAAUCCUGGGAUGGAGAUGGAUCUGUGAUUUUUCACAGACAUCAGGACCCAGCAUUCAGGUGAAUGAUAAGGACAUGAGUCAGAAAGGUGGAGGAACAACUUCACACAGACUGAAGGGAAACUCGGAGGAAGAGAGCACAAUACACAUCUAAUGCUGAAGAGGCUGAGCACAGUAAUGACAGGAAUGCAUGAGCAUGAAAACGCACAGGCAAUCCAUGGCAGAAAGAGAACCCACAGAGAAGAAAGACGUUACAUUAGCCAACACCUAUGGCAAUUACCACACAAUGCUGAGGUCGAUGCAAAACUUUGAACUGACAUAUUUUGGAAACUGAGUCCAAGAAACAGAAGAAGGAAUGGAAAUGGGAGGGAUAAAAGCCAGUUCAUGGGAUCGCAUCAAAUCUGUUCGUACGGGAGCUGCCAGAUAUCAGUUCUGUUCAGGAGCUUCAAAAACUCAGGAAUGGGAUUCAGAGUUCUGUUUUGGUGGGAAAAGAUGUUUAUCCACCACCUACUAAACUCUGAAUCAAGACUCCAUUAUGUUUGCAGGUUUUCACAAGCAUCUGAACCCUAAGUGGGAUUUGCUAAUGCUCAAAUAAUUAUCAAACUCUAUAGCAGAACAUGAAGGAUAUUCAAUCCAUACAAUUUAACAUGCAAGUAUCACCAUAGCAACUGAGGUCAAAAGAUGGGCAGAAAGGAUCUGAUCCAGAGCAGGUGAGUAUCUAGAAUGACCUGCUCCCUCAGACUACAGAGACCUACAAAUUUCUCACAUUGGACCCACCAAAGACGCAUCACAAUGCUGGUUGCCUGUAGUAUGCAAAACUGACUUAUAUAGUAUUAGUCUCAGCUACUGCAUCCUAACACAUUUCAGUAGCUUAUCUUCCUCCUCUAGCACCUAUUCAGAAUUUUCUUUGAGUUUGGAUUGCUUGGUUAAUGAGAAAAAUCUCAAAUAUCUUUUCCCCAAAAGGAUAUAUCCUUUAGUUGCUUUACCCCUGUAGGGACAUGGUUGUUGGCAAUUCUCAUUUACUUUUAUCACUAUGUGUAGAUGCACCAAGACAUGCUCUGCAGGCUUCUUCAACUUCAGAAGAAUUCCUAGUAGCAAAUGUCCAAUCAGAUUCAAUUCCUCUAGACAGUGUGGUACCUCCUGUUCUAACCCUUAUGCUUUAAGUCAAUUCCUCCUAUGUGUUCAUCCAUGAAGGGUGCUGGCAUGGUGACAGUCCAUUGUCAGCUGCAUCAACUUGCACAUCAAAUUCAUUUCUGAACCACUUGUGGGCUUUUUUAUUCCGUUACAUGACAGAGACUAUACUUUCCCUUCCAUGAGGCCAUACUGUGAGUUGCAAGCAGGGGGAGGGGGAGUGUUUUACUGGUCCAGCUAGUUAAAAAAAACAAAAGUGAUUGGUCCCCCUCCUUGCCUGAGCAGUGCAGGAGAGCUGGCCCAGGUGACUUGGGUGCUGAAGAGCUGGUGGGCUGACAGACUCAACUACCACUCAUGCCCAGAUUCAGAGAUUUGAGUUGGGCCACCCCAACAUCUAUGAGCUACUGGAGUGUGUGAAGGAGCUGGUCCUGUGGAACCAUAUCUGCAGGAUCUCCAUGUCUCAGGACAACAGCAGAAUACCCAAGAGGAGUCUAUGUGAGGGUCCAGUGUUGAUGGUGUAGAAGAAGCCAGAAGCCUUGAACCAGGCCAAUGACUCAUUGCAAUGAACACUUGCAAGUAAAGCUGAUUGGGCAAAGGGGUAUACAAUGUGACACUGUAGCUUCCAAUGCCACUAUGACAAAUGAAUAUGUGAUGGAGAUUCGGGAAAGAUAGAGGAGUAGACUGGUAUAUGCAUCACAGAACUGCAGAAGUUGAGUGAAAGUUGUAGGCUGCAAUUGAUAGAGGAGCAGGUCAUUUUCAGAAGGGUCAAAUAUUUUUUUUUUGAGGGGGAAGUUACAAGGGUGGAGGGCAGAUACAGAAGGACUGGGAAAUGAACAGGAUUGAGGUGCAUGAUAUAAAAUUCCCAAAGGAUCCAUAAAAAAUUACGUUUUAAAAAAUGUGACUGGGCUGGGCUGGCGGUGGCGGUGGCGGUGGUGGUGGUGGUGCAUGCCUUUAAUCCCAGCACUUGAGAGGCAGAGCC